AGAGUUUGAUCCUGGCUCAGGAUGAACGCUAGCUACAGGCUUAACACAUGCAAGUCGAGGGGAAACGACAUCGAAAGCUUGCUUUUGAUGGGCGUCGACCGGCGCACGGGUGAGUAACGCGUAUCCAACCUGCCCAUCACUUGGGGAUAACCUUGCGAAAGUAAGACUAAUACCCAAUGACGUCUCUAGAAGACAUCUGAAGGAGAUUAAAGAUUUAUCGGUGAUGGAUGGGGAUGCGUCUGAUUAGCUUGUUGGCGGGGGUAACGGCCCACCAAGGCGACGAUCAGUAGGGGUUCUGAGAGGAACGGUCCCCCACAUUGGAACUGAGACACGGUCCAACUCCUACGGGAGGCA
rnacentral:rRNA from 1 species